rnacentral:rRNA from 1 species
GUUGACUUCCGCCAUAAUUUACUUGAUGUUGAUAUUCCACGUGGAUAACUGUGGUAAUUCUAGAGCUAAUACAUGCACCAAAGCUCCGAUCUCAUGACGAGCGCAUCUAUUAGACCAAAAACCAAUCGAGAAUAUUCGCCUCAAAACGAAUGCCUCGUAAAUUUGGUGACUCUGAAUAGCUUAGCUGAUCGCAUGGUCUCGCACCGGCGACGUAUCUGUCAGGUGUCUGCCUGAUCAACUUUCGAUGGUAGUUUAUAUGCGGGGGUGGUUGUGAGGGGCUGGAAAUAACGGUCAAUCGGGAGGGGGCCGUAACGCUACAAACCAGGGAAGGGCAGGGGCCCCGACUCCUACGGGGGGCCGGACAGAGACGAGGGGGCUUCAUAAGACAACAAGGCAGAAUAAGGGGGGGGGGAAAAAAAAGCAAGAGGAGGGGCCGCGGAACUAUUGGGGGUAAGGACGCCGCCGAAACUGGGGGCAGUGCCCCGGGCCGCUUCCACAAAAAUACAAACCCGGGCAUCAAAGGGAAUGGCGGCCGGGAAGUUUGUAAGUGGGGCACGGGGCCGCAACGAAGGCAAAGAGGGCUAUACGCAAGGGGCGGAAUAGUAUAUUGCUAUAUAAUAAGGGUUUUAAAAGCGGGGGGGUUUGAGCCAGGCUUCUUUUUCGGGGAACUUUCUUAACUGCCAGAACGUAUCACGAGAGUAGAGAGAAGGGACACUUGGGCCGAAAGCGUGGGGGGUUUUAUGAUAUUAUUUUGACCGACAUAUAUGAUUUAAAGCAGCGGGCCCCUACACGUCAGGGGAGUUAUAUAUUAUUUCAUGCACGGUAAGGUAGUAAUUGGUAAAGGGCAUAGCCGUGUAUGAAGUAUAGUACUUUCAGUGCCAUACCCUCAUUAGCGCGACUAUUAUAAUGCUACUAUGCCUCACAUCUACUAACUUUUAUGUAUUAGUACUCAACAGUUGACAUGGCUAGCAAGGGAAUAUGUAAGUAUACGAGAAUGCAUGA